AAGAAUUUAAGUUAAAAAAACUAUUAGCCUUCAAAGCCAAAAUUAGAAUAGUCUAAUUCUUA
rnacentral:tRNA from 1 species